rnacentral:rRNA from 1 species
GACAGAGGGUGCAACCGUUGUUCGGAUUUACUGGGCGUAAAGCGCGUGUAGGCGGCUUUGCAAGUCGGAUGUGAAGGCCCACGGCUCAACCGUGGAAGUGCAUCCGAAACUGCAUGGCUUGAGUCUCGGAGAGGAAGGUGGAAUGCUUGGUGUAGAGGUGAAAUUCGUAGAUAUCAAGCAGAACACCUGCGGCGAAGGCGGCCUUCUGGACGAUGACUGACGCUGAGACGCGAAAGCGUGGGGAGCAAACAGG